rnacentral:rRNA from 1 species
GACGAACGCUGGCGGCGUGCUUAACACAUGCAAGUCGAACGCUGAAGCUCAGCUUUUGUUGGGUGGAUGAGUGGCGAACGGGUGAGUAACACGUGAGUAACCUGCCCCCUUCUUUGGGAUAACGCCCGGAAACGGGUGCUAAUACUGGAUAUUCACUUGCCUUCGCAUGGGGGUUGGUGGAAAGGGUUUUUUCUGGUGGGGGAUGGGCUCGCGGCCUAUCAGCUUGUUGGUGGGGUGAUGGCCUACCAAGGCUUUGACGGGUAGCCGGCCUGAGAGGGUGACCGGUCACAUUGGGACUGAGAUACGGCCCAGACUCCUACGGGAGGCAGCAGUGGGGAAUAUUGCACAAUGGGCGAAAGCCUGAUGCAGCGACGCCGCGUGAGGGAUGGAGGCCUUCGGGUUGUAAACCUCUUUCGCUCAUGGUCAAGCCGCAGCUUUGGGUUGUGGUGAGGGUAGUGGGUAAAGAAGCGCCGGCUAACUACGUGCCAGCAGCCGCGGUAAUACGUAGGGCGCGAGCGUUGUCCGGAAUUAUUGGGCGUAAAGGGCUUGUAGGCGGUUGGUCGCGUCUGCCGUGAAAUCCUCUGGCUUAACUGGGGGCGUGCGGUGGGUACGGGCUGACUUGAGUGCGGGUGGGGGAGACUGGAACUCCUGGUGUAGCGGUGGAAUGCACACAUAUCACGAAAAACACCGGUGGCCGAAGGCGGGUUCUCUGGGGCCGAUAUGGAGGCUGAGGAACGAAAGCGUGGGGAGAGAACAGGAUUAAAUACCCCGGGAAGCCAGGGGGGAAUUGGGGGGGGAGACGUGCCGAUCGUUCCAAAAAAACUAUAUAAAAAAAUUAAUUCCCAGAUUUUGUUUUUUUUUUUUUG